rnacentral:rRNA from 1 species
AACGUAGGGGACAAGCGUUAUCCGGAUUUACUGGGCGUAAAGCGUGCGUAGACGGCUAUCUAAGUCGGGUGUGAAAGCCCCGGGCUCAACCUGGGAAUUGCAUUCGAGACUGAAUAGCUAGGGUACGGUAGAGGGAAGUGGAAUUUCCGGUGUAGCGGUGAAAUGCGUAGAUAUCGGAAGGAACAUCAGUGGCGAAAGCGACUUCCUGGACCAGUACCGACGUUCAGGCACGAAAGCGUGGGGAGCAAACAGG